rnacentral:ribozyme from 1 species
UGCCCAGCAACUCCUAUCCCAACCUCCUCGUGGUACUGGCCGGGGUACGAGUAACCUUGGGGAAGAUCGGGUAACCAACCCCCGGUGGGAACUUUGGUCGUAUGCUGACAGGGAAGG